CCUGACUCUUGGACUCCAGCAAGGCCCUGCCCAUUCUGUAUCUGGGCUGGUGCUCAGGGUGGUUUUUGAAGUGAGCAGCCUUGAGCGAUGAGGUGAUGUCUCCCUCCCUGACAAAGAGAGCAAACUUGCUUGCUUCCUGCUUUAAAAUGGCAGGUACCCCGAGCUCAGUGUUGCUCUCCUGUAAAGCAGCCCACUGCAGGUCCAUCUACAUCUAGGCCCACUUACGUCACCCCUGUGGGCACUGGAGCUUAGGGAACCACUGCGAACAUCUGACACUCUGGAGACUGCUUUUGCUGGUGGACUUCCGGGCCUGGUGGCUGGGCUCUGUCAACUGUCUCCUACUGGGAAGUUACCGCACAGAGGUGUGAUUUUGAGCCCCCAGAGACAAGCCGGAAGAAGAGCAACCCCAGCAGGGGAGGGGAGGCCUCUGCACUGGCUGGCACCCUGAAAGGCCCAAGGUGUUUAAAGCAGGGGGAAAACCAGUUCCUGUUACUCCAUCGUGGUCAGAGGCAAAGUCCUCUUCUUCAGGAAACAAGUUCUUUUCUGUUGGAUCCCGUGACCCAACGUUCUCCUUUGUCUCCUGCUCUCUGGAAGCAACUCUUAGUCUCGUCUGCAGGCUCAUCUCCUCCGGCAGCCAUUGACUGUGGGAGUUCCUCCAUCACUCAGAGCUGUCUUCUCGCCUCCCGCUCUGUAAUGGCUCCCUGUUGACUCGUCCAUACCCAGGGCUUCGGAACCCACCUAUAUCACAGAUUAGAUUCCUGGGCCAAAGCGCCUGUCACAGAUUCCAGCUGCCUCUUUGACCACACAACUUGAAUGUCUCUAAGCAUCCCAGACUCAACAGGUCUGAAAGGAAUUCAUCAUCUUUCCUCACAUGUGAUCCUCUUCUUACUUUAUAACCAGUUGUGAAGUCAAAACCCGAGUAUCUGCUUUGACACUUCCCUCCCCAUCCCCCCAGAUCAAACCCACUGCCAAGUCUCGCUGAUCCUUCUUCAGAAAGAUCUCUAGUGCCUGUCCCCUCCUCUCCGCCUGUACUCUGGUCCAGGUGGUGAGUCCUAACUGGUCUCCACCAUCUCUUCCUAGUUUGAUCUCUG
rnacentral:lncRNA from 1 species